rnacentral:rRNA from 1 species
CUCUUUAAAUAUUUAAAGUAGUCUCUGCCCAAUGAAAUUUUAAUGGCCGCAGUACUCUGACUGUGCAAAGGUAGCAUAAUCAUUUGUUUUUUAAUUGAAAACUAGAAUAAAAGAGUUGACGUAAAAUAAACUUUUUUAAAAACUAUUUAAAUUGACAUUAAAGUUAAAAGGCUUUAAUAAAAUAGAGGGACGAUAAGACCCUGUGAAAUUUUAAUCAUAUACACAGCUAUUUAUGAAAUUGGUGUAAAGUGAUUUUUACUGGGGCGGUUUAUAUAGUUAUCUAUUUCUAUAAAAAAUACAAAAAUGUAAAUAUUAAAAACCUUGAUAUGUAAAAUUUUUCAAAUUACUCCAGGGAUAACAGCACAAUUUCAUUCAACAGAACAUAUAGACAAUGAAGUUUGUGACCUCGAUGUUGAAUUGGGAAUACAUAUAAAA